GACGAACGCUGGCGGCGUGCUUAACACAUGCAAGUCGAGCGGUAAGGCCCUUUCGGGGGUACACGAGCGGCGAACGGGUGAGUAACACGUGGGUGACCUGCCCUCAGCUCUGGGAUAAGCCUGGGAAACCGGGUCUAAUACUGGAUAUGACUCCAUGACGCAUGUUGUGGGGUGGAAAGCCUUGUGCGGCUGAGGAUGGGCCCGCGGCCUAUCAGCUUGUUGGUGGGGUGAGGCCUACCAAGGCGACGACGGGUAGCCGGCCUGAGAGGGCGACCGGCCACACUGGGACUGAGACACGGCCCAGACUCCUACGGGGAGGCAGCAGGUGGGGAAUCUUGCGCAAUGGGCGAAAGCCUGACGCAGCGACGCCGCGUGAGGGAUGACGGCC
rnacentral:rRNA from 1 species